AUUGAACGCUGGCGGCAGGCUUAACACAUGCAAGUCGAACGAGUGGCGGACGGGUGAGUAAUGUCUGGGAACCUGCCUGAUGGCGGGGGAUAACUACUCGAAACGGUAGCUAAUACCGCAUACCAUUAGAUCUGCCCAUAUGGGAUUAGCUAGUUGGUGGGGUAACGGCUCACCAAGGCGACGAUCCCUAGCUGGUCUGAGAGGAUGACCAGCCACACUGGAACUGAGACACGGGCCAGACUCCUACGGGAGGCAGCAGUGGGGAAUAUUGCACAAUGGGGGCAAGCCUGAUGCAGCCAUGCCGCGUGUAUGAAGAAGGCCUUCGGGUUGUAAAGUACUUUCAGCAGGGAGGCGGUACCUGCAGAAGAAGCACCGGCUAACUACGUGCCAGCAGCCGCGGUAAUUC
rnacentral:rRNA from 1 species